CCUACGGGAGGCAGCAGUAGGGAAUCUUCCACAAUGGGCGAAAGCCUGAUGGAGCAACGCCGCGUGGGUGAAGAAGGUCUUCGGAUCGUAAAACACUGUUGUUAGAGAAGCAAGUGCGUGAGAGUAACUGUUCACGUUUCGACGGUAUCUAACCAGAAAGCCACGGCUAACUACGUGCCAGCAGCCGCGGGAAUACGUAGGUGGCAAGCGUUAUCCGGAUUUAGUGGGCGUAAAGGGAACGCAGGCGGUCUUUUAAGUGUGAUGUGAAAGCCUUCGGCUUAACCGGAGUAGUGCAUUGGAAACUGGGAGACUUGAGUGCAGAAGAGGAGAGUGGAACUCCAUGUGUAGCGGUGAAAUGCGUAGAUAUAUGGAAGAACACCAGUGGCGAAAGCGGCUCUCUGGUCUGUAACUGACGCUGAGGUUCGAAAGCGUGGGUAGCAAACAGGAUUAGAUACCCGAGUAGUC
rnacentral:rRNA from 1 species